rnacentral:rRNA from 1 species
GAUGAACGCUGGCGGCGUGCUUAACACAUGCAAGUCGAACGGAAAGGCCCAAGCUUGCUUGGGUCCUCGAGUGGCGAACGGGUGAGUAACACGUGGGUGAUCUGCCCUGCACUUCGGGAUAAGCCUGGGAAACUGGGUCUAAUACCGGAUAGGACGAUGGUUUGGAUGCCAUUGUGGAAAGUUUUUUCGGUGUGGGAUGAGCUCGCGGCCUAUCAGCUUGUUGGUGGGGUAAUGGCCUACCAAGGCGUCGACGGGUAGCCGGCCUGAGAGGGUGUACGGCCACAUUGGGGCUGAGAUACGGCCCAGACUCCUACGGGGGGCAGCAGUGGGGAAUAUUGCACAAUGGGCGCAAGCCUGAUGCAGCGACGCCGCGUGGGGGAUGACGGCCUUCGGGUUGUAAACUCCUUUCGCUAGGGACGAAGCGUUUUUGUGACGGUACCUGGAGAAGAAGCACCGGCUAACUACGUG